AUCAUCUCUGCGCUUAGGGUAUCCAAUUCCGUUAGCUAUAAACUCAGAGUCGGAAAAGACCACAGACUCAAUUCAAAUUUUAAUUAAAUGACUUUAUUAAUUGCUGAUAGCAGGCCAGAAGUCUUAAAGCCAAAUCAAAGAUGUGUCCUGCAAAAGAGGCUAGAUGAAGGAUGUUUAAAGCCCAGGAUUCCAGCUCAUGGGAUGAUGCCACAGUACAUUAGCAUGAAUCUUCAUACUUCAGUUAAGCCAAACUAAAAAUUUCCCCACAGUGCAUCCAGAUCCCAUCAAGUGGAAAAUAUCAAGUGUAUUGAUCUAUGACUUUCAUUCUGUGAUGGUAAAAGUGCAAGUCCCUGCUUCCAUUGGCAACUCACCAUUCCAAGCAAUUUGUCCACAUCACCAAGAUUCUGUGUCUGAUAUUUUGACUGGAGACAAGCUCUUCUUGAAGGACCCUUGGACUAUCCAAAUCUGCAGAUGUUCAAGCCUUUAUACAAACAUUUUCUCAUGUACCUGUCCACAGCCUCCUGCAUUCUUUAAAGCAUGUCCCAGUUUUCAUCCACAGCUGCAUGAAGCCACAAACGCAGAAUCUGUAACCAUGAGGCCCAGCUGUGUAAUCCUUUUCUUCAGGGUAAUGUUCUCUAUGGAUACAAAUACAUUUGGAACAGUAAUGGAGACACAAGGUUUCUUCAACUAAGAACUUUGACAAAAAGCAAGUACCAUCUCUUCAUCUGAGCUGGUAUGGUCUCAGGGCUUCCUGACUUAUGUGCUUGAUUGAUUGAUUGAUUCACAGCAAGGGUGCCUUUAAUGCUCCAGACUUUGCUGCAUGGAAAAGUCUUUCAAUCCAAUUAAAACUGAUUCUGGG